AACGAACGCUGGCGGCAUGCCUAACACAUGCAAGUCGAACGAGACCUUCGGGCCUAUUGGCGCACGUGUGCGUACCGCGGGGGAACUUGCCCUUAGGUUCGGAAUACCUCCCCGAAAGGUGACCUCAUACCGGAUAAUGUCUUCGGACCUAAGAUUUAUCGCCUUUGGAUGGGCCCUGGUUGGUUUAGGUAGUUGGUAGUGUAAAAGCCUAGCAUGGCGUCGAUCCUUAGCUGGUCUGAUAGGAUGAUCAUCCACACUGGGACUGAGACACGGCCCAGACUCCUACGGGACGGAGGAGUAGAGAAUAUUAGACGAGGAGGGAUAGCCUAAUCAAGCAACGCCGCGUGAGUGAUGAAGGCCUUAGGGUUGUAAAGCUCUUUUAGACGAGAUGAUAGUGACAGUACCGGGAGAAUAAGCACCGGCUAACUCCGUG
rnacentral:rRNA from 1 species